rnacentral:rRNA from 1 species
UUAAGCGACUAAGCGUACACGGUGGAUGCCCUGGCAGUCAGAGGCGAUGAAGGACGUGCUAAUCUGCGAAAAGCGUCGGUAAGGUGAUAUGAACCGUUACAGCCGGCGAUGUCCGAAUGGGGAAACCCAGUGCAAUUCGUUGCACUAUCGUUAACUGAAUACAUAGGUUAACGAGGCGAACCGGGGGAACUGAAACAUCUAAGUACCCCGAGGAAAAGAAAUCAACCGAGAUUCCCCCAGUAGCGGCGAGCGAACGGGGAGCAGCCCAGAGUCUGAAUCAGCUUGUGUGUUAGUGGAACGGUCUGGAAAGUCCGACGGUACAGGGUGAUAGUCCCGUACACCAAAAUGCACAGGUUGUGAACUCGAAGAGUAGGGCGGGACACGUGGUAUCCUGUCUGAAUAUGGGGGGACCAUCCUCCAAGGCUAAAUACUCCUGACUGACCGAUAGUGAACCAGUACCGUGAGGGAAAGGCGAAAAGAACCCCGGCGAGGGGAGUGAAAAAGAACCUGAAACCGUGUACGUACAAGCAGUGGGAGCACCUUCGGGUGUGACUGCGUACCUUUUGUAUAAUGGGUCAGCGACUUAUAUUCUGUAGCAAGGUUAACCGUAUAGGGGAGCCGCAGGGAAACCGAGUCUUAACUGGGCGUUAAGUUGCAGGGUAUAGACCCGAAACCCGGUGAUCUAGCCAUGGGCAGGUUGAAGGUUGGGUAACACUAACUGGAGGACCGAACCGACUAAUGUUGAAAAAUUAGCGGAUGACUUGUGGCUGGGGGUGAAAGGCCAAUCAAACCGGGAGAUAGCUGGUUCUCCCCGAAAGCUAUUUAGGUAGCGCCUCGUGAAUUCAUCUUCGGGGGUAGAGCACUGUUUCGGCUAGGGGGUCAUCCCGACUUACCAACCCGAUGCAAACUACGAAUACCGAAGAAUGUUAUCACGGGAGACACACGGCGGGUGCUAACGUCCGUCGUGAAGAGGGAAACAACCCAGACCGCCAGCUAAGGUCCCAAAGUCAUGGUUAAGUGGGAAACGAUGUGGGAAGGCACAGACAGCCAGGAUGUUGGCUUAGAAGCAGCCAUCAUUUAAAGAAAGCGUAAUAGCUCACUGGUCGAGUCGGCCUGCGCGGAAGAUGUAACGGGGCUAAACCAUGCACCGAAGCUGCGGCAGCGACGCUCAGGCGUUGUUGGGUAGGGGAGCGUUCUGUAAGCCUGCGAAGGUGGCCUGUGAGGGCUGCUGGAGGUAUCAGAAGUGCGAAUGCUGACAUAAGUAACGAUAAAGCGGGUGAAAAGCCCGCUCGCCGGAAGACCAAGGGUUCCUGUCCAACGUUAAUCGGGGCAGGGUGAGUCGACCCCUAAGGCGAGGCCGAAAGGCGUAGUCGAUGGGAAACAGGUUAAUAUUCCUGUACUUGGUGUUACUGCGAAGGGGGGACGGAGAAGGCUAUGUUAGCCGGGCGACGGUUGUCCCGGUUUAAGCAUGUAGGCUGGUUAUCCAGGCAAAUCCGGAUAAUCAAGGCUGAGGUGUGAUGACGAGGCACUACGGUGCUGAAGUAACAAAUGCCCUGCUUCCAGGAAAAGCCUCUAAGCAUCAGGUAACAUCAAAUCGUACCCCAAACCGACACAGGUGGUCAGGUAGAGAAUACCAAGGCGCUUGAGAGAACUCGGGUGAAGGAACUAGGCAAAAUGGUGCCGUAACUUCGGGAGAAGGCACGCUGGUGUGUAGGUGAAGUCCCUGCGGAUGGAGCUGAGACCAGUCGAAGAUACCAGCUGGCUGCAACUGUUUAUUAAAAACACAGCACUGUGCAAACACGAAAGUGGACGUAUACGGUGUGACGCCUGCCCGGUGCCGGAAGGUUAAUUGAUGGGGUUAUCCGUAAGGAGAAGCUCUUGAUCGAAGCCCCGGUAAACGGCGGCCGUAACUAUAACGGUCCUAAGGUAGCGAAAUUCCUUGUCGGGUAAGUUCCGACCUGCACGAAUGGCGUAAUGAUGGCCAGGCUGUCUCCACCCGAGACUCAGUGAAAUUGAACUCGCUGUGAAGAUGCAGUGUACCCGCGGCAAGACGGAAAGACCCCGUGAACCUUUACUAUAGCUUGACACUGAACAUUGAGCCUUGAUGUGUAGGAUAGGUGGGAGGCUUUGAAGCGUGGACGCCAGUCUGCGUGGAGCCAACCUUGAAAUACCACCCUUUAAUGUUUGAUGUUCUAACGUGGGCCCCUAAUCGGGGUUGCGGACAGUGUCUGGUGGGUAGUUUGACUGGGGCGGUCUCCUCCCAAAGCGUAACGGAGGAGCACGAAGGUUAGCUAAUCCUGGUCGGACAUCAGGAGGUUAGUGCAAUGGCAUAAGCUAGCUUGACUGCGAGCGUGACGGCGCGAGCAGGUGCGAAAGCAGGUCAUAGUGAUCCGGUGGUUCUGAAUGGAAGGGCCAUCGCUCAACGGAUAAAAGGUACUCCGGGGAUAACAGGCUGAUACCGCCCAAGAGUUCAUAUCGACGGCGGUGUUUGGCACCUCGAUGUCGGCUCAUCACAUCCUGGGGCUGAAGUAGGUCCCAAGGGUAUGGCUGUUCGCCAUUUAAAGUGGUACGCGAGCUGGGUUUAGAACGUCGUGAGACAGUUCGGUCCCUAUCUGCCGUGGGCGCUGGAGAAUUGAGGGGGGCUGCUCCUAGUACGAGAGGACCGGAGUGGACGCAUCACUGGUGUUCGGGUUGUCAUGCCAAUGGCACUGCCCGGUAGCUAAAUGCGGAAGAGAUAAGUGCUGAAAGCAUCUAAGCACGAAACUUGCCCCGAGAUGAGUUCUCCCUGAGACUUUAAGUCUCCUGAAGGAACGUUGAAGACGACGACGUUGAUAGGCCGGGUGUGUAAGCGCAGCGAUGCGUUGAGCUAACCGGUACUAAUGAACCGUGAGGCUUAACCUU